rnacentral:rRNA from 1 species
UACGUAGGGUGCAAGCGUUAAUCGGAAUUACUGGGCGUAAAGCGUGCGCAGGCGGUUUCGUAAGUCUGUCGUGAAAGCCCCGGGCUCAACCUGGGAAUUGCGAUGGAGACUGCGAGGCUAGAGUGUGUCAGAGGGGGGUAGAAUUCCACGUGUAGCAGUGAAAUGCGUAGAUAUGUGGAGGAACACCGAUGGCGAAGGCAGCCCCCUGGGAUAACACUGACGCUCAUGCACGAAAGCGUGGGGAGCAAACAGG